UUUACCUCAAUAUACUUACAUCAUACCCAAGGACAUAUUGUAUUAAAGUCAAACUAACAAAACAUCCCAACAUGGGACCCAUCAUAAAAACAUAAAGACAUAACCAUUAUCAUUAAAAUUGAACCGACAGGGAAUUCUAAGCAUCAGCCCCUCCCUCCUCAGCAGUGCCUAGCUCCCCAGCCUCAUCGUUCAUACCUGGACGUUUAAAACAUAAACACAAAGUGAAAAUGAAGAGAAA